rnacentral:rRNA from 1 species
AUUGAACGCUGGCGGCAUGCCUUACACAUGUAAGUCGAACGGCAGCGCGGACUUCGGUCUGGCGGCGAGUGGCGAACGGGUGAGUAAUACAUCGGAACGUACCCUGUUGUGGGGGAUAACUAGUCGAAAGAUUAGCUAAUACCGCAUACGACCUGAGGGUGAAAGUGGGGGACCGGAAACGGCCUCAUGCAGCAGGAGCGGCCGAUGUCUGAUUAGCUAGUUGGUGGGGUAAAGGCCCACCAAGGCGACGAUCAGUAGCUGGUCUGAGAGGACGAUCAGCCACACUGGGACUGAGACACGGCCCAGACUCCUACGGGAGGCAGCAGUGGGGAAUUUUGGACAAUGGGGGCAACCCUGAUCCAGCAAUGCCGCGUGUGUGAAGAAGGCCUUCGGGUUGUAAAGCACUUUUGUCCGGAAAGAAAUCGCGCUGGUUAAUACCUGGCGUGGAUGACGGUACCGGAAGAAUAAGCACCGGCUAACUACGUG